rnacentral:tRNA from 1 species
GCGCUCGUAGCUCAGCGGAUAGAGCACCGGUCUUCGGAACCGGGGGUCGUGGGUUCGAAUCCCUCCGGGCGUA